GGAUAUUCAGAAUUGAAGAAAGGAUGAGAUGACAUUCUCACCCUGAAGGAAUUGGAAAUGGGAAAAGUGGAAUCCACUAAUAGGUCUGUGUUCCAGCCUUGAGUUGACAUCAUUACAGUCUGGAGCGAUGGAGAGAGCUGGGAAUCCUCAGCUUGUACUAUGCUGAAGGGACAGAAGACUGCAGGCUCCUAUUGCAGUUCAGGUGGUUCAUUGGGAAGGUAAUGAACAGAAGUUUGUGCUGAAAGGACACCGACAUUGCAGGCGGUACAGAUGUAAUUUAGGAAAAUGCUGAAAUCCACAUUUAAAGAACCACUGCGGUUCUUGUGCCCUUUGACGGACUCUUGCCAUGAGCCCUAUGCAGUUCCAGGUUCCACCAUGAUGCACUCUGGGUUAAGCGUUUGGAAGAUGGAGUCACGCUAGUGUCCAUAGCCAGUGAAUGUUCACCUAAAUGUAUGCACCUAACAUUUCUCUUGCAAAGAAAUUGCUUAAACCUGCCAGCUCACUAGCAUAAUAUCCAUUGCCUUGUGGACAUAGAGAUACAUACGGCAAAUAUACCUAUAUGUCAUUUUAUGAACAAAUCCUGAAAUACAGUUAAAACAAGUUAUGAGAUAUAGGCACUGCCAGGCUUGAUCUAUGCAGCAAUGUAUUGCUGCCACCAUGACAAAAUAAAAUUUGCCCAAUUUCUUCUUAUUGUGGGAGAAGAUACACAUCUUUAAUGGAGGCUGAGUGGUAUAUACACAUGUAUUUGUUAUUACGUUAUAUAUGUUUGGAAGACUAGAAUUAUAUUAGAUUAAAAUUCAACUUCAUUUUCACUUAGCUGAG